rnacentral:sRNA from 1 species
GCAAGAGCCCGUGUCCCGCUAGGCUCCGCGCCCUCGCGCCCGUAGCCCCGGCGGCGGCACGACCAGCGGCGGCCAAGCGAGCGCGCCGCCCCGCUCGGCCCUCCCGUCCCGCUCCGCCGCCUCUCUCCCGCACAGCAGCCGCCAGCGCGGCCUCCUGCACCAUGUCGGUGGCCGGCCUCAAGAAGCAGUUCCAUAAAGCCACUCAGUCUUCCAAAAAACAGUAUUCUUGUGACUGUUACUCAGUAUAAACUGGAUACUUCUGGAUACGGCUCUGGUUGUACA